rnacentral:rRNA from 1 species
GCGACGCCGCGUGAACGAAGAAGGCCGUGAGGUUGUAAAGUUCUUUUCGGGAGGGGGAAUGACCGUGGCAGGGAAUGGCCGCGGGAUGACGUGAAUCCCGGAACAAGCCCCGGCUAACUACGUGCCAGCAGCCGCGGUAACACGUACGGGGCGAGCGUUGUUCGGAAUCAUUGGGCGUAAAGGGCGUGCAGGCGGCACUGCAAGUCCGGCGUGAAAGACCCCGGCCCAACCGGGGGGGUGCGCUGGAAACUGCGGUGCUUGAGUACAGGAGGGGAUGCCGGAAUUCCAGGUGUAGGGGUGAAAUCUGUAGAUAUCUGGAAGAACACCGAUGGCGAAGGCUGGCAUCUGGCCAUGUACUGACGCUAAGACGCGAAGGUGCGGGGAGCAAACAGGUUUAGAUACCCUGGUAGUCCGCACAGUAAACGAUGUGCACCAGGUGGCGGGGGUAGAACCCCCGGUACCGUAGCAAACGCAUUAAGUGCACCGCCUGGGGAGUAUGCUCGCAAGGGUGAAACUCAAAGGAA